rnacentral:rRNA from 1 species
CUCAGAAUGAACGCUGGCGGCAGGCCUAACACAUGCAAGUCGAGCGAAGUCUUCGGACUUAGCGGCGGACGGGUGAGUAACGCGUGGGAACAUACCCUUUGGUACGGAAUAGCCUCGGGAAACUGGGAGUAGUACCGUAUGUGCCCUUCGGGGGGAAAAAGGUUUUAUCGCCAAAAGGAUUGGCCCGCGUUGGAUUAGGUAGUUGGUGGGGUAAUGGCCUACCAAGCCGACGAUCCAUAGCUGGUUUGAGAGGAUAAUCAGCCACACUGGGACUGAGACACGGCCCAGACUCC